rnacentral:antisense_RNA from 1 species
GAUAACCGAAGAUAACAGCAGGGUUCAGGGUGGGGUUAUUGAUGAUCCGCACAUCACCUCCGCCCGGUGCCCAGGUGUCGUAGACGCCGCCAACAAACAUCGCUUUGAUGACGAGUAAGAACGCGCCUAAGCCUAAAACGACGAGGUGGAAGCCCAAGAUGGUGGUCAUCUUGUUCUUAUCGCGCCA